CAGUCGCCGCGGUAAUACGGAGGGUGCAAGCGUUAAUCGGAAUUACUGGGCGUAAAGCGCACGCAGGCGGUCUGACAAGUCAGAUGUGAAAUCCCCGGGCUUAACCUGGGAACUGCAUUUGAAACUGUCAGGCUGGAGUCUUGUAGAGGGGGGUGGAAUUCCAGGUGUAGCGGUGAAAUGCGUAGAGAUCUGGAGGAAUACCGGUGGCGAAGGCGGCCCCCUGGACAAAGACUGACGCUCAGGUGCGAAAGCGUGGGGAGCAAACAGGAUUAGAUACCCGUGUAGUCCCUGUCUCUUAUCA
rnacentral:rRNA from 1 species